GAUGAACGCUGGCGGCGUGCCUAACACAUGCAAGUCGAACGGAGUCGUUUUGGAUAUCUCUUCGGAGAUGGAAUUCUCCACUUAGUGGCGGACGGUUGAGUACCGCGUGAGCAAUCUGCAUUUAAGCGGAGACUAACCGUCGGACACGGCUGCAAAUACUACAUACCGCAUUACCUUCCCUCGUUUUUUUAGCCACAGUAUCACUCAGCUUUUCGCUGAGCUCGCGUCUGAUUAGCUCUUUGCCGGGGUAACGACCCACCAAGGCGAUGAUAAGUAGACGGAAGGAGAGGAUGAACGGCCACAUAGCAACUGAGACACGGCCGAGACUACUAUGAGAGGCAGCAGUGGCGAAUAUUGCGAAAUGGGGGAAACCGUGACGCAGCAACGCCGCGUGAUUGAAGAAGGCCGUCGGGUUGUAAAGAUCUUUAAUAAGACACGAAACAAAUGACGGUACCUGAAGAAUAAGCACCGGCUAACUACGUG
rnacentral:rRNA from 1 species